AUUGAACGCUGGCGGCAUGCCUUACACAUGCAAGUCGAACGGCAGCGGGCCUUCGGGUGCCGGCGAGUGGCGAACGGGUGAGUAAUGCAUCGGAACGUGCCAUUGAGUGGGGGAUAACGUAGCGAAUGUUACGCUAAUACCGCAUAUUCUGUGAGCAGGAAAGCAGGGGACCGCAAGGCCUUGCGCUCUUUGAGCGGCCGAUGUCAGAUUAGCUAGUUGGUGAGGUAAAGGCUUACCAAGGCGACGAUCUGUAGCGGGUCUGAGAGGAUGAUCCGCCACACUGGAACUGAGACACGGUCCAGACUCCUACGGGAGGCAGCAGUGGGGAAUUUUGGACAAUGGGCGCAAGCCUGAUCCAGCCAUGCCGCGUGAGUGAAGAAGGCCUUCGGGUUGUAAGCUCUAUCGGCCGGG
rnacentral:rRNA from 1 species